rnacentral:lncRNA from 1 species
AUUUAGCAAUGCUGUAAAAAAUGAAGUACUAAAUUUAGCAUAUGCUACUUAUACUGAUAAAACAAAUUUAUUAACAACAAAAAAGGAAAACUGUGGUAAAAAAUGUGUCAUGUCUGAUGGUUUUGAUGGGACUACUGCUACUGCUACUACUACUGCUGCUGCUGCUGCUGCUACUGCUACUACUGCUGCUGCUGCUGCUACUACUACUGCUGCUGCUACUACUACUGCUGCUGCUACUACUACUACUACUGCUGCUGCUACUACUACUACUACUACUACAACCGCGACCACUUAUAAUAGUACCAUUUCUAUUAUUGAAAAACAACAAAAAGAAACACUCGAUCAACAACAUACAUAUGAAAAUCUGUACGAACAAAACCAAACAUACAUAAUGCCUAUUUCGUUUGUAGGUGGCGAGACAUCUUAUUCUUUAAUAGGUGUUAUAUAUAUAGAAGAUGCAUUAACCCUAAUUAAUAAUGAGUUUGAUGAAAGUGGUACUAAAACAAUAGGUAAUAAUAUAAAAGACACAUUGUAUAUUUCAGAUAAUAAUAAAAAAUUAUUAGACAGUUUUUUAAGUAAAUGGUUUAUGAACGAAAAAAGUAAUGAACAAAUAAUAUCUGACAAGCUAAAGUGUGGAAGUGUAUACAAAAUAAAGUACGUAUGUGAAUAUAAAAAUUCUUGUUUUUUUCCUGCUAGAAAACAACCAUUAUAUGGUAUUAUAAAUAAUAAAAUAAAUAAGGCUAUAGAUAAAAAAAAUAUAGAAAUUGUUAUAGAUUCUAAUAAAUUUAAAGAAGUAGUGCUUAGUGUUGAUAGUUAUAAAAAAUAUGGUAGUAGGCCUAACAACAUAGACAUUAAAAAAGGGGUAGGUGUUGUCAUUACAUCAGUCAAUAAUGGUACUACUUCAUCUUGCAAUGUUGAACAAAAUGAACAAAGUAACACAUUUAUUAUGACAAAGGAAAAGUCAAAACAAAUGUAUGAUAACACCAUGCAUAUCAAAAAAAAUGAACAAACUACUGCUGGUCCUACUGAUGACCAUACAAUUACUAACACGUCCAAUAAUGCCAAACAAACUAAAAAUCAACUAAAUUUAAUAAAACAAUCACAGUUAUUAAAAAUAUUUGAAAUUUUAUAUGAUAGUAAAAUUACACCUGUGUCAAUAGAUAAUAAUUUUAAUAUUAGUAACCCUUAUGCUGGCUAUUGUGCCUUACUACCAUUUUUAACAAAAAGCGAAUUUCUUUUUUUUCGAGAA